rnacentral:lncRNA from 1 species
UUGAGAAACAGUAGAUAGCUAAAAAAUUUUGUCUCAGGGCAAAAUUUUCUUUCUUUCUUUUUUUUUUUUGGCACCUACACUUCCUUUUAAGCUAAGCUUCUCAAGAUUUCAUCAAAUUACCUCUAAGACCCUGGAAAAGUUGAGACUUUUCACAAAGGUAUUCAUCUUAGAAGUUCACAAAC